CCCUUAGAUGUCCUGGGCUGCACGCGCGCUACACUGAUGUGUCCAGUAAGCACCUAACCUCUUCCGAAAGGAACGGGUAACCUUUGCAAAGCACAUCGUGAUGGGGAUAGAUUAUUGCAAUUAUUAGUCUUGAACGAGGAAUUCCUAGUAAGCACAAGUCAUCAGCUUGUGUUGAUUACGUCCCUGCCCUUUGUACACACCGCCCGUCGCUCCUACCGAUUGAAUGGUUUAGUGAGAUCUCCGGAUUGGCUCUGUAGGUCCCGCAAGGGAUUUAUUAGUAGCCAAGAAGCUGCUCAAACUUGAUCAUUUAGAGGAAGUAAAAGUCGUAACA
rnacentral:rRNA from 1 species